CCGGUUGAUCCUGCCGGCGGCCACCGCUAUUGGAAUUCGAUUAAGACAUGCGAGUCGAGAGUCGUAAGGACUCGGCGGACCGCUCAGUAACACGCGGAUAACAUGCCCUUAGGUGGAGGAUAAUCUCGGAAAACUGAGGAUAAUACUCCAUAGAUCUACUAUGCUGGAAUGCUUGUAGGUCCAAAACUCCGGUGCCUAAGGAUUGGUCUGCGGCGUAUCAGGUCGUAGUGGGUGUAACGGACCCACUAGCCGAUGACGCGUAAGGGCCUUGAGAGAGGGAGCCCUGAGAUGGACUCUGAGACAUGAGUCCAGGCCCUACGGGGCGCAGCAGUCGCGAAAACUUCACAAUGGGGGAAACCCCGAUGAGGGAAUUCCAAGUGUCAGCACAUUGUGUUGACUGUUCCCCUGUCUAAAAAACAGGAGAAGUAAGGGCCGGGUAAGACGGGUGCCAGCCGCCGCGGUAAUACCCGCGGCCCGAGUGGUGGUCGAUAUUAUUGAGCCUAAAACGUUCGUAGCCGGUCUUGUAAAUCCUUGGGUAAAUCGGCCAGCUUAACUGUCCGAAGUCCGGGGAGACUGCAAGACUUGGGAUCGGGAGAGGUCAGAGGUACUUCUGGGGUAGGGGUAAAAUCCUGUAAUCCUAGAAGGACCACCAGUGGCGAAGGCGUCUCACCAGAACGGACCUGACGGCAAGGGACGAAAGCUAGGGGCACGAACCGGAUUAGAUACCCGGGUAGUCCUAGCCGUAAACGAUACUCGCUAGGUGUCGGCCACGGUGCGACCGUUGUCGGUGCCGUAGGGAAGCCGUGAAGCGAGCCACCUGGGAAGUACGGCCGCAAGGCUGAAACUUAAAGGAAUUGGCGGGGGAGCACCACAACGGGUGGAGCUUGCGGUUUAAUUGGAUUCAACGCCGGG
rnacentral:rRNA from 1 species